rnacentral:rRNA from 1 species
GACGAACGCUGGCGGCGUGCUUAACACAUGCAAGUCGAACGGAAAGGCCCUGCUUUUGUGGGGUGCUCGAGUGGCGAACGGGUGAGUGACACGUGAGUAACCUGCCCUUGACUCUGGGAUAACUUCAGGAAACUGGGGCUAAUACCGGAUAGGAGCUCCUGCUGCAUGGUGGGGGUUGGAAAGUUUCGGCGGUUGGGGAUGGACUCGCGGCUUAUCAGCUUGUUGGUGGGGUAGUGGCUUACCAAGGCUUUGACGGGUAGCCGGCCUGAGAGGGUGACCGGCCACAUUGGGACUGAGAUACGGCCCAGACUCCUACGGGAGGCAGCAGUGGGGAAUAUUGCACAAUGGGCGGAAGCCUGAUGCAGCAACGCCGCGUGCGGGAUGACGGCCUUCGGGUUGUAAACCGCUUUCGCCUGUGACGAAGCGUGAGUGACGGUAAUGGGUAAAGAAGCACCGGCUAACUACGUG